CACGGGGGGAGCAAGCGUUGUUCGGAUUCAUUGGGCGUAAAGAGCUCGUAGGCGGUCUGUCGCGUCGGCUGUGAAAACCCGAGGCUCAACCUCGGGCCUGCAGUCGAUACGGGCAAACUAGAGUACUGCAGGGGAGACUGGAAUUCCUGGUGUAGCGGUGAAAUGCGCAGAUAUCAGGAGGAACACCGGUGGCGAAGGCGGGUCUCUGGGCAGUAACUGACGCUGAGGAGCGAAAGCGUGGGGAGCGAACAGG
rnacentral:rRNA from 1 species